UACAGAGGGGGCAAGCGUUAUUCGGAAUUAUUGGGCGUAAAGGGCGCGUAGGCGGCUUUGCAAGUGACGGGUGAAAUCCCUCGGCUUAACCGAGGAACUGCCUGUCAAACUGCAUGGCUUGAGACCGGGAGAGGUGAGUGGAAUUCCCAGUGUAGCGGUGAAAUGCGUAGAUAUUGGGAGGAACACCGGUGGCGAAGGCGGCCCUCUGGACCGGUACUGACGCUGAUGCGCGAAAGCGUGGGUAGCAAACGGG
rnacentral:rRNA from 1 species